AAGGAUCAAAUGUACUUUCUUUGACUUAGAACUUUGUCAUGCAGUGUCAACCCCUUGUCCCUAGUCUAUGAGCAGUUUUAGUUUGUUUUAAAGUAACCACUGCACGCCCUAUCAACCUGUGUAACCACUUUCAGGGAACUAUGAACUUGGACCCCAAGAUCACUCUGCUCAUCAACACUGUUAAGGGUCUACCUGUUAACAGCAUACUGCUUCUUCACACUUGAUCUAUCAAGGUGCAAUACUUCACAUUUGACCAGGUUAAACUCCAUCUGCCAUUUCGCCACUCAUAUCUGCAACUGAUCUAUAUCCCACUGUAUUCUUUUCCAGUUUUCCAUGCUAUCCACAGCACCACCAAUAUUAUCUGUAAUUUACUAACCCACCCAUCUACAUUUUCAUCCAGGUCAUCUAUAUACAUUGUAAACAGCAGAGAUCCCAGUGCAGAUUCUUGCAGAACGGUACUAAUGACAAUACUGCAGCAAGAGUAAGUCCCUUUGACCACUACCUUCUGUCUUCUAAAGGGCAAUCCAGUUCUGAAUCCAAAUGUCCAAUUUGCCAUGUAUCCUGUCCAUUUUGAUCUUCCGGACGAGCCUUCUGUGAGGGACCUUGUCAAAUGCCUUACUAAAUUCCCACGUAGACAACAUCCACAGCUCUAGCUUUAUCCAUCACCCUUGUCACCUCGUCAAAAAACACAUUGAGUUAGUAAGACAUGACUUGCCCUGAACAACGCUGUGCUGGCUCUUCCUAAUUAGGCCAUGGUUUUCCAGAUGCUCUGGCCUACUCCGGGCUGCUCCAGGGUUCAGACCUGAGGACUCAGUUUUGGUUCAGAAUGCUGUAGUUCGCUUCAGUUGCUUGCAUGACCUGUAUUUAUUUUCUUGCUCUUGCGUAUCACUUGUUGGUCCUUUAUUGUUUUUUUUUCUUUAAUCGGGCUCUUUUGAGUUUCUAGCUUUGUGCCUACCUGUGAGCAAGCAAAUCUCAAGGUUUUAUAAUUUACACAUUCUUUGCUAAUAAAUGUACUUGAGUCUUGACUUGAAUCCUAUCCCUUAGAAUUAUCCCCAUUACUCCUCUACGACUGAUGUGAGACUCCCAGUUUCCAGGAUUGUCCCUGGUUCCCUUCUUGAAUAAUGGAACAACAUUAGCUACUCGCCAGUCUUCCAGAACCUCGCCUGUGGCUAGAGAGAACACAAAGAUAUUGGUGAAUGCCCCAGCUAUCUCUUCACUGGUCUCUCUCAAUAACCUGGGGUAUUUCCCAUAGGCUCUGGGGAUUUAUCCACUGUAAAGCUCUUUAGAAACUCAGCACUGCCUCCUCCUUUACUUUGAAAUGCCGUAGCAUAUUAAUGCUCUUGGCACUGAUCUCCCUAUCCUCCAUGCCCUUAUCCUUGGUAAAUACUGAUGUAAAGUACUCAUUAAGGACCUCACCCACAUCCUUUGCAUCCAGCCAAAUGUUCUCUCCUUUUUCGUUCUCACCUUCUCCCUCUUGCUCCUGAUGUAUUUAUAGAAUGCCUUGGGAUUCUCUUUAAUCCCACUUGCCAAGGACUUCUCAUGGCUCCUCCUGGCUUUCUUAAUUCCCUUUUUGAGUUAUGUGGUAACUUCUACUUUACCAAAAGACCACUCGACAAUUUGAUAGCCAACAGACCAUCUUUAUCUGGGACGGCAAAUGAUAUUUACAAUACAGAGGCUUCCAGGUACCUCGUGCAGCAGGGGUGGAGGAACUAUCUACAAUGCAUACUGGGAGUAGUAAGAGCGGAAGUAAAGACCCCGCCAACCCCGGUAGUAUUAACUUACUUUUAAUAAUACUCACAUUACAACAAGUUAUUUUCUGGCUUCUUUAUAAAUCCUCAAGGGUCCUAUUUGAUUGUCUUCCUGCGAUUCACGUUCUUUUUCUUUUUCACCUUGACUAAGUUCAUCACCUUCCUUAACAUCCAAGGUUCCCCUAUGUUGACAUACUUGUCCUUUCUUCUAGUCCUGCCCUUGUGCAGCUGGUCUUUUAAACACCCUUCUCAUGUUAUGUGCGAACUUGCCCAAAAGCAGCUGUUCCCAACUAACUCUCUCUAGUUCCUGCUGAAUGCUCUUGAAUUUGCCCCGCGUCCAGUUUAGAGCUCUCCCACAAGGUCCGUAGUGAUCUAUAGCUACCUUAAAACUUAUGGAGCUGUAGUCAUUAUUCCCUAACCUCUUGCCCACGGUAAGGUCAGUCAUUUGUCCAGGCUUCUUAUCCAAAACCAGAUCCAGUACAGCCCGUUCUCUUGAACUCCUUCAAUACAAUAUAUCUUUUCUUAGCUACAAGAGGUGUACACAUUAUUCCAGGCAUGUUUCCACUACUCUCCCCCAAAAAAUGUCCACUUGCCAGACUUGCUAACUUCCAAGCUCCAUCCUUUUCUUUUGCUGCUCCUCCCAGUGCACUCAUUGAUUAGGAAAAAUAUUUUUGGAUACUUGCACGGUAUUGAAUUUGUUUAAAGAGGCCCUGAAAAGGCAAGAGUUAUUUGAGGAAACAUGGGGGAAAAAAAACAAGAUGUGAAAGCAAACCCUGAAAAUACACUCAGUGGCCACUUUAUUAGGAAUGCCUGUACACUUGCUCUUCAAUGCAGAUGUCAAACCAGCCAAUCAUGUGACUGCACCUCAAUGCAUAAAAGCAUGUAGACAUGGCCAAGAAGUUCAGUUGUUGUUCAGACCAAGCAUGAUGAUCUGGGGACAUAUGAUCUAAGUGACUUUGACCAUGGAACGAUUAAUGGUGCUAGACAAGGGGGUUUCAUUAUCACAGAAACUGCUGAUCUUCUGGGAUUUUCACACAGAAAAUCUAGAGUUUACAAAGAAUGAUGCAAAAGACAAAAACUGCCAUCCAGUGAGCAGCAGUUCUGUGUCUUGUUAAUGAGAGAGGUCAGAGGAGAAUGGGCAGACUGGUUCAAACUGAGAGGAAGGUGACAGUAACUCAAGUAACCACAUGUUACAACAGUGGUGAGCAGAACAUUUUUGAACACACAACAUUUGAACUUUGAAGUGAAUGGGCCAAACCACAUUCCACUCUUGGAAGGUAGGUACGAAGGGAUUUAUUCUAGCUGGAGGUCUGUAAUUGGUGGUAUUCCACAGCGAUCUGUACAGAGACCUUUGCUGUUUGUGAUGUAUAUAAAUGAUCUGGAUGAAAAUUCAGAUGGGUGGGUUAGCAAGCUUGCAGAUGAUACAAAGAUUGGUGGUGUUGUGGACAGUGUAGAAGACCGGCAGAGAGUACAACGCAAUUUAGAUCAGUUGUAGAUAUUGGUGGAGAAAUGUCAGAUUAAGUUUAACCCAGCUAAAUGCGAACUGUUACAUAUUGGUAGGUCAAAUGUAAAUAGACAGCAGACGGUUAAGGGCAAGAUGAGCAGAGGGAUCUUGGGGUCCAAGUUCAUAGUUCCCUGAAAGUGACUACACAGGUUGAUAGGGUGGUUAUGAAGGCACAUGGCAUGUUUGUCAUUAUUAGUCAAGGCACUGAGUUCGAAUGUCAGGGAGUUAUGUUGCUGCAUUAUAAAACUUGAGUUAGGCCUCAUGUGGAAUAUUGCAUAUAGUCUGGUCGUCCAUUAUAGGAAGGAUGUCGAAGCUUUGAAGAGAUGUUUACAAGGAUGUUACCUGGAUUAGAGGGCAUACGUUAUUACGGCAGGUUGGACAAACUUGGUGUGUUUUCUCUGGAGCAGGGGAAGCUGAGGGGAGAUCUGAUAGAGGUUUAUAGGAAUAUGAGGGGCAUUGAUGGAGAGGACAGGCAACAUUUUCUUCCAAGUGUUGAAAUGGCUAAUCCCAAAAGGCUUGCAUUUGAGAUGAGAAGGGGUAAUUUCAAAGGAGAUGUGAAGGGCAAGUUCUUUACACAGAGACGUGGGUGGCUGCAGAGGCAGAUACGUUAGAGACUUUUAAGAGACAUUUAGACAGGCACGUGAACGUGAGGAAAAUGAAAGGAGAAAGGCAUUGCGUAGACAGAAGAGAUUAGUUUAGCUGGCCAUUUGAAUACUACUUUAAUUGGUUUAGCACAAUAUUGUGGGCUGAAGGGCCCUUUCCUGGGCUUUUCUGUUCUAUGUUCUACUAAGAUGGCCACUGAGUGUAUGUAUGAAAUGGUCUGAGAAUAAUGUGUUUUCUUUUUCUUACAGUACACAAGACAAAAUAUUUAAGGAAGAAAUGGACAGCAGACAAGGAAGAUAGAUGUUUUCUAUAUGGGGAUAUACCUGAAGAAAAUGAAAAGUGUGCACUGGAAAUCUAAAGUAAGAUAAAAGAGAAAUAGAAUGGUUCAUUCCUGGAAAGUGGAUCGCAGACAAAUAAAUUCUGCCGGAUGCUGGAAAUCCAAAGCAACACACACAAAAUGCUGGAGGAACUCAGCGGGUCAGUCCUUGCAGGAUAUGCAUUCUUCAAGCUUUGGCAGUCAGACUGGUUCCUGCUGACGUAGUUUCCUCUGAAGUCAUCAGCCAGGACAGAAAUGCGUUAGUGUUGUGACUCUUUUGUUUACCCAGGUGGCUAAACCACCAUUUGACUGAAGACAGCGGUGCUCCGAAAUCCACCUGGCUUUCCAAAUGAUGUAGUUACACAGUCACCAAGUGACCAAACAAUGCCACUGCAGAUUUUCAGUGAGGAUCGGUGGAUGUUCACCUAACUUCCCCUUCCUGAAGUCUACAAUCAGUUCCUUUUGGUCUUGCUGACGUCAUCCUUCGUGUAUUACGCUCUGACAAGUUAUCAGAACAGCGCAGGAUUCCUUUUAUAUUUGCAUUUGAUCUUAUCUCUGUAAUCCCUUCGGUUCACUUGUUUCAGUUUUCACUUCCCCCUUUGUGACCGUGGUUGGAGCUCGUUCUUGCCCUGUCACACAAUGGUAUUUAUCUGCUAUUUAGGCCAUCAGGCUGCUUAGUGCAUGCUGACUCAACUGUAUUUCUAUGUUAUAUUGACUGUCCUGUUGUACAUAAUAUCUACUCUAAAUUACUAUAAAUUGCACGAUCACAUUUAGAUGGAGACGUAAUA